AGGCGCGCAAAUUACCCACUCCCGGCACGGGGAGGUAGUGACGAAAAAUAACGAUACGGGACUCAUCCGAGGCCCCGUAAUCGGAAUGAAUACACUUUAAAUCCUUUAAUGAGGAUCCAUUGGAGGGCAAGUCUGGUGCCAGCAGCCGCGGUAAUUCCAGCUCCAAUAGCGUAUAUUAAAGUUGUUGCGGUUAAAAAGCUCGUAGUNGAAUUNGUGUCUUAUACUGUUGGUUCAUUAUUUUAUAAUGUUAACUGACACGUUAUAAGAUGUCCUACCGGUGGAUUUAGCUGAGGUAAAACUUGGCGGUCCAAUCAAAUCCUAUCGCGGUGCUCUUAACUGAGUGUCGAGGUAGGCCGGUACGUUUANUUUGAACAAAUUAGAGUGCCUUAAAGCAGGCUAUUAAUGCCUGAAUACUGUGUGACAUGGAAUAAUAGAAUAGGACCUCGNUUCUAUUUUGUUGGUUUUCGGAACUCCGNGGUAAUGAUUAAUANGGAC
rnacentral:rRNA from 1 species